CUCUUACAAGCAUUUUAUACUUAUAGUCCUCAAAAUUGCUCUCAACCAAAACCCUAAACUCCAACAUUCAAGUUCAAGAAUUCAAGCCUCUAAAUUCAAGAAUUCCAAGAAACUGAUUAAGAUUCGAAUUUCAUUUUUCUAACUACAAAAUCUAAGGUUCUGAGGUACAGCCUAGGGAUCCUGAUAAGCAGUAAAAUUCCCAGACAGAGGUGCAAAGUUCGGUUAGUGAGCCUUCUAUAUUUCAGAAGUCCUAUUCACUGUCAGAAAUUUAUCAUGAGAUUGGUUUUAGUCUACUGGGGCCUUGUCCCAGAAUUCAGAUAGUUGUUAUUUGAUCAUGUAAUAGAGAUUUUCGCAUACGAUUUCCAGAUGUUGUUAGAUGGCUUUGGGUUUCAUUUUCCAUUGUUGAAUGUAUAUCAGACUUCUCAACAUGAUUCCGUUUGGUUAUACUUUUCUGCAUUUUCCUUAAAUUAUGUAUGAAUGGUGUAUAUGAUUUCAAGUUAGAAGGGCGUACGGGCUUUCAUGGUUCGGGAUGCUCGUCACGGCCAGGGCCUUGGUUCGGGUCGUGACAAUGAAGUUGGAAUGUGUCGUAGUAAAUUGGUCAUAAUUCGGAGGUACUAGAUGCUUUACUCGAAAAAGAAAUAAAGAAAGAUUUCAAUAGUGAUCUGUAAAGUAAAUGAAAGAAGAAAAGGACAAUACAUUGUAGCAGAUAAGAUAACGUGGGGCCGUAGUGAAAAAAGAUUUCAAUAGCUGCCAAACAAAAGAAUUUGAUAGCUGUAGGUUCAAUAUAAACCACAAUCCAUCCACAAAUUACAAUAUUCAACAAUAACCACAAAUUAAGUCAUAAUUUCAAGUUAGGGUUUAAAGAUUCAAAUAUUCUAAGUGUCCUUCUUGAGUCCCGACAGCUUUGCAAGAAGAGGGUUAGUAAAUCUUUUGUUUCACACAUCCUUCUCAAUGUGAAAAAGCUUUUGAACUCCAUAUCGUUGAUUGAAUUCUGCGGCUGCUACAUAGAAGAUGUAACAUGAAGGGAUUAUAGAAAUUAAAGGGGUACAACCUAAGUUGCGCGGAUUCUUCACUUUGAUCCCGUACCCGUUUCGGAUUCUCCAAAAAUACACUACUUUUGGAAAAUCCGACGCUCACUUGCUGACAUUUUUGAAGAGUCCGAGCAACAUAGGGUACGACAACCACCAAAACUAUAGAAACAAAAAUGAAAGAAUGAUUUGUCUGCUGGUUCUAAAAUUAUAAAGCUGAAUACGAAAGGAUGGAAGUUUAUACACGUCAGCAAGAAAUCACAGCGAAAGCUGAUCUGAUA